AGAGUUUGAUCAUGGCUCAGAACGAACGCUGGCGGCAGGCCUAAAACAUGCAAGUCGAACGAACCUUCGGGUUAGUGGCGCACGGGUGAGUAACGCGUGGGAAUAUGCCCUUCACUGCGGAACAACGUCGGGAAACUGACGCUAAUACCGCAUAAUGACUCCGGUCCAAAGAUUUAUCGGUGAAGGAUUAGCCCGCGUCUGAUUAGGUAGUUGGUGAGGUAACGGCUCACCAAGCCUACGAUCAGUAGCUGGUCUGAGAGGAUGAUCAGCCACACUGGAACUGAGACACGGUCCAGACUCCUACGGGAGGCAGCAGUUAGGAAUAUUGGACAAUGGGGGAAACCCUGAUCCAGCCAUGCCGCGUGUGUGAAGAAGGCCUUAGGGUUGUAAAGCACUUUCGUCUGUGAAGAUGAUGACAGUAGCAGAAGAAGAGUUCCGCAUGGG
rnacentral:rRNA from 1 species